CUUGAAGUUGACCGGGUCCACCCGAAGCUUGUGCGCGUGCAGGUCGCUCAGGGCGGACAGCGCGUUGGGCAUGUCGCUCAGGGCGGACAGCGCGUUGGGCAUGUCGUCCACGUGCGCCACGGCGUUGGUCAGCGCGUCGGCCACCUUCUUGCCGUGGCCCUUAACCUGGGCAGAGCCGUGGCUCAGGUCGAAGUGCGGGAAGUAGGUCUUGGUGGUGGGGAAGGACAGGAACAUCCU
rnacentral:lncRNA from 1 species